GUAAGCUUACACAAAUAAAGACGGUAAUGACCAGUUACUUAAGUUUGUUGCUUUUGAUUCUUUGCCUAAUAAACAUGCCUGCCAAUGUUAAGACAACUCACGUAGCCAGAAGAUAUUUUGUUUGCUUUCCCCUUCCGUUGCUUCUCUUUAUCUAUCUCCCCUUACUAAGAUCCAGAAGUAUUGUUAAAGAAGAUCCAGAAGCAGACCUUUCUGAAGCCGAGUCAAGUUUGUAUUUGCCUGGCUCGAUGGAUGAAGAACUAUUUGCGGAUCUCCCCACGCUUUCGGUGACACCCGUUGUCAUAUGCAGGCAUCGUGUGCUGCAGCAGGCAUUGGAGACUGUAGGCAUGUCUAUGCUCUGAACAACGACACGCUAUGACGAGGAGAACGAGAUGCUCACUGCUAUUCGCAUCCAUGUUCCUCUGCAUCCGAAUUCCCCGCCUCACAACAAAUCUCUUCUACAGUGACUGGUCUGCAUACCCGAAUGUAUGCACGAAUCAGUAUUAUUACAGAAAAUGAAUUGAAUAGUAUCUCCAUUUCAUCUCAAAAAAAUGUAGAAUAAUACUAAAGAAAGAAAUUUCCCAUCCAUGUAGAUGAAGUACCCCAAUCAGUUUAUAAUGUUUAAGACCAAUUAUUGAA